rnacentral:rRNA from 1 species
UACGGGGGGAACGAGUGUUAUUCAUCAUAACUGGGUGUAAAGUGCAUGUAGAUGGUAUAGGAGAUAUUUAUUAAGUUUAUUAAUUAAAUAUUAAUAUACUUGAAUUUAGUAGAAAUUUGUAGAAUUUAAUUUAAAGGGGUGGAAUGCGGUAUAAAUUAAAGACUAACAAUAGGCGAAGGCAACAAAUUAUACUUAAUUGACAUUGUAAUGCAAAAGCAUAGGGAGCAAACAGG